GACGAACGCUGGCGGCGUGCUUAACACAUGCAAGUCGAACGGAAAGGCCCUGCUUUUGUGGGGUGCUCGAGUGGCGAACGGGUGAGUAACACGUGAGUAACCUGCCCUUGACUUUGGGAUAACUUCAGGAAACUGGGGCUACUACCGGAUAGGAGCUCCUGCUGCAUGGUGGGGGUUGGAAAGUUUCGGCGGUUGGGGAUGUACUCGCGGCUUAUCAGCUUGUUGGUGGGGUAGUGGCUUACCAAGGCUUUGGCGGGUAGCCGGCCUGAGAGGGUGACCGGCCAGAUUGGGACUGAGAUACGGCCCAGACUACUACGGGAGGCAGCAGUGGGGAAUAUUGCACAAUGGGAGGAAGCCUGAUGCAGCAACGCCGCGUGCGGGAUGACGGCAUUCGGGUUGUAAACCGCUUUCGCCUGUGACGAAGCGUGAGUGACGGUAAUGGGUAAAGAAGCACCGGCUAACUACGUG
rnacentral:rRNA from 1 species